GACGAACGCUGGCGGCGUGCUUAACACAUGCAAGUCGAACGGAAAGGCCCUGCUUUUGUGGGGUGCUCGAGUGGCGAACGGGUGAGUAACACGUGAGUAACCUGCCCUUGACUUUGGGAUAACUUCAGGAAACUGGGGCUAAUACCGGAUAGGAGCUCCUGCUGCAUGGUGGGGGUUGGAAAGUUUCGGCGGUUGGGGAUGGACUCGCGGCUUAUCAGCUUGUUGGUGGGGUAGUGGCUUACCAAGGCUUUGACGGGUAGCCGGCCUGAGAGGGUGACCGGCAACAUUGGGACUGAGAUACGGACCAGACUCCUACGGGAGGCAGCAGUGGGGAAUAUUGCACAAUGGGCGGAAGCCUGAUGCAGCAACGCCGCGUGCGGGAUGACGGCCUUCGGGUUGUAAACCGCUUUCGCCUGUGACGAAGCGUGAGUGACGGUAAUGGGUAAAGAAGCACCGGCUAAGUACGUG
rnacentral:rRNA from 1 species